GGAGCUCCGUGAUUUCAGCCUCCAGUGUGUAGAGAUCCUCGCCCCCGGCACCGGCGGUCCCGCUACCGCUCGAGUUACCCUGACCCGUGCCUACCGCACCCCCGUGAGCCGGACCACCGGCUUCCAACCCUGAGGACAGGACAGACACGGUCCAGUUUGAUAAGAAAAAUGGAAGGACGAGGAAAGAGGACCCUCAUUGGUAUGACAGCACAUCAUUGCGUGAAGAGCAGAGUAUGGCGUAGCACGGGAUCAAGUACAAGCGUGGCUGGCUAUUGGGCAGCCCGACAGGGACCUAUGGCUAUGAAAAGAUCCGUUUAUGUGACCGAGUCCGUCGCAUCCGGGUGUGGGACAAUUGACACCCUCGAACUUCAUGGCUGUCGCGGCAGCCACGGCCGCCUUGUGCUGCUCAACUGUACCACCAGAUUCCAGUACUCGCAUCUUGUUCCUGUUCGCGAUCGGGCAUCCAGAUGCACUGUAAUAAGGAAAUGGGAAAACAUUAACAAUCACACGCAAUAUAGACUCCUCAAAAUAAUUAUGAGGGAUCAAAAAGAAUUGUUCAAAAAUAGGUAAAUUUUAAAUAGCUGUAACUUUGUUUCGAAAAAUGAGAAUUUAA